CUUGAUUUCUUUUUUUAAGGAACAACUUCUCCGACAAAGCUCAAGGUGUGAAAUCUGCUGCAACGUGCUCCGGCUGAAGUUGCACCUGCCAAAGCGAUCCUCGAUUGCGGUUUAAUAGAAGAAGGCAGAGAUAAUAGGAGAUGUAUUCAUCCUAAUUUUGUAUUAUUGCUGAAAGUUUUCAAUUGCUCUCUCUUGCCUUUUGUGUUGUUCUUCCCUCCCCCUCUGAUUUGAACAACUGUGUUUUCAAUUUUAAAGAUUUUAUUAUCAGCUUAGAUGAUAUUGCUUGAGUUGUUCACCGUUCAAUUUGUCCCAUUGAUCUUUAGAGGUGAUGUAGUUAUUGUGCUACUAAUAAUUGAAAUUUUAAUUAUUAUAAUCGACAGAGUAUGGAAAUGACUAUGAGAUUAGCAAAUAUAUAAUUAUUUGUUGCACAUUAAAGAUACAAAUUUGUUGUCUUAACAUAGAUGUCGACAUAGAUAAAAGAACUUCUUAAUCUAAGGUUUACUCACUGCAUUAUUAUUCAACUUUGUUGGCCAAUUAUAAAUAAUUUUACUUCAUUAAAACUGUCAUUGCAGUGUUGUUUCGCGAGUACAGAAACCAAGUUCAUGGUAUAUAAUUAUAUCACUGGCUUUGUUGCAUGUUUGGUUCUUCUUCUUAAACUAUGUUUUGUUAGUAUUAUUGUUAUUGUUUGUGUUGAAGCUUGAUAUGAUUUGUUUUAUGUUCCUGGUGGGUUAAGUAGGAGAUUACAAAGAGACAUAUUAUAUUUGUCAUGUAGUUAGAUGCAAAUUAUAGCCUUUUUUACAAAGGAUUUAUGUAUAAUGUUAGUGUUUAUCAGUAUAAAAAGAAAAAGUCUUCACAUGUUG